rfam:Picea glauca, whole genome shotgun sequence.
AAAACGGUGUCUUUAGACACCACCAAUAUUCUACAAAGUUUAUUU